rnacentral:snRNA from 1 species
CAGCUCUGGUUUCCCUUCAAAACGCAUAAAUCUUUCUACCUUUUACUAAAGAUUUCAGUAAGAGGAACAACUCAAUGAGUCUUACUCAUUUUUUCUAUAGCCCCACACUUCGGUAGGUU